UACGUAGGGUCCGAGCGUUGUCCGGAAUUAUUGGGCGUAAAGAGCUCGUAGGCGGCGUGUCGCGUCUGCUGUGAAAGUCCACGGCUUAACUGUGGGUGUGCAGUGGAUACGGGCAUGCUUGAGGUAGGUAGGGGAGACUGGAAUUCCUGGUGUAGCGGUGAAAUGCGCAGAUAUCAGGAGGAACACCGGUGGCGAAGGCGGGUCUCUGGGCCUUACCUGACGGUGAGGGACGAAAGCAUGGGGAGCGAACAGG
rnacentral:misc_RNA from 1 species